rnacentral:lncRNA from 1 species
AUUCAAUAGGUACCAACCCAACCUGGCAAGAAACCUAUAGAAAGAUUCUUCAGAAAGAACCCUUACCUUAUUUGUAUCAGUCAUUGCAAGGAAGAGAAAUGCUAUAAAUAUAAAGAAUACGGCAAAGGCUUCAAACAUCCCUCAACUACUAAAAGUCAUGUGAGUAUGCACACUGCAGAGAAAAUUUUAGAAUGUAAGGAUUGUGGGAAAGUUUUCAAUCAGGAGUCAUGCCUUAGAAAACACUUAAGAACUCUCACAGGAGAGAAGGCUUACAGGUGUAAUCAGUGUGGUGUAUCCUUCAGCCUUCACUUUUCCUUCUCAGGAUGUGAGCAAAUACAUACUGGAGAGAAAUUCUAUGAACGCACUGACUGUAGAACAAAGUCUUCCCUUAGUGUUCAUAAAAAAAUACAAACUGUGGAGGAGAGCUUGGAAUGUAACAAAUAUGGGAGAGCUUUCACUGACCCUUUGUCCCUUCAGAAAUGUGUCAGAACUCACACUAAAGAGAAACUCUAUGAGUGCAGUGACUGUGGAAAAGCCUUCAUUUUUCAGUCCUCCCUGAAGAAACAUAUGAGAUCCCACACUGGAGAGAAACCUUACGAGUGUAAUCAUUGUGGAAAAUCCUUCAGCCAGAGCUCUCAUCUCAAUGUGCACAAAAGAACUCACACUGGAGAGAAACCCUAUGAUUGUAAGGAGUGUGGGAAGGCCUUCACUGUUCCUUCAUCCCUUCAGAAACAUGUGAGAACCCACACUGGAGAGAAACCUUAUGAAUGCACUGACUGUGGAAAAGCCUUCAUUGAUCAGUCAUCUCUUAAGAAACACACACGGUCUCACACUGGAGAAAAACCAUAUGAGUGUAAUCAGUGUGGAAAAUCCUUCAGCACAGGCUCUUAUCUUAUUGUGCACAGAAGAACUCACACUGGAGAAAAAACCUAUGAGUGUAAAGAAUGCGGGAAGGCCUUUAGGAAUUCCUCUUGCCUGAGGGUACAUGUGAGAACACACACUGGAGAGAAGCCCUAUAAAUGCAUGCAGUGUGGGAAAGCCUUCAGCACAAGCACUAACCUUAUAAUGCACAAGCGAAUACAUACAGGACAGAAAGUCUGUGAAUGAAAUGACUUUUGAGGAGGUUAUGUUGUCCUGCAUGUCUCAUUCCUCAUUCUAGAACUCACACUGGAGAGAAAUUGUAUUGUAAACCAUGUGGAAAAAGUAUUGAGGCACAAUUCUUAGUUCUUAUCAGUAAUGACUGUUUCAUACUUAAAGUGCCAUAACUCAUUAAUUUAUAAGCAUUGAAGACAAUAUAUCAGUAAACUGCUUGACUCACACCACAAAAGUUUUGAUAAUGUAAUAUUAUAAGUUAGUACUAAAUAAUGUCUGAUUCCUAUCAAGAUAUUUUAGACCCACAGAUAAGUUAGAAGUGAGUUUAUUAAUAGGCAUAUCUUAUGUAUAUUUUAGUUAACUUUAUUUUAACUCAUUUUGGACAGAAUGCAUAGUCUUAAUGAUAUAGAUAAAUGUAAAAAGUUGGUAGAAACUUGCUGUGUGGUGUACGUAGCUGACAGAACUAGUUACUGUCCCAAUAUUCAUUCUCUGCCCCCUUGUUCCUUAAAAUAAAAAUCUCACAAUUUUGUUUAAUUUGGCAAUAUUGAAACAGUGUUUAAGCACUCAUUUCCCAACCUAC